rnacentral:tRNA from 1 species
GGAAAAGUGGUGAAAUCGGUUAGACGCACCCAAUCUUGAGGGAUUCAGAAGAGGCGAAGAGAUUAAGCCGUUUUUUGACAAGGUCCUUAGACUUCUGAAUGCAGGUUCGAGUCCUGCCUUUUCCA